UUCACUGUACCCAUAAAUGCUAAAAGCAACCUAUCAGUCAAAGUGAUACUUAGCACCUCUUAUUAAGAGGUUGUACUGUUAUAGUAUACCACUAUAAUCUAGAAAGGAAAAACAUGUGAUUACACAUCAUGAGAAUGAAGGCAUUCACAAUACAUUCAAGACAAUACUCCAUGUUCUGUCAAGAAAGGGAGAUUUUAAACCAUAUAAAACCAUCUCUCCAAGGACUAAGAUAUCACAGCAACACCAGGAUAACCUAACACCUCCAGGUGUUUCUAGUUUUCGUCUUCUUGUAGCCCCAAUACACCUACUUCUGAAAAAAAGGAGUUCCGGAUAUCCCAAGAAGUCACUGUGACACGAGCGGCCCAACCUUGAGUCCACUCUCGGACAUAUGUAAAGACUGAAAUCUGAAAUAAAAUUUGAAGGCAUAUUUACAGGCAUCAACUUCCCCUUCAGCAUUCCCAAUUUAACUUUAGUCCUCCCCACUUUUUACUGGCCUCUUUCUGGAAAGCUGGAUGGCUCUCUCAGGAUCAGGAUAACUCCUCAAGUUACACUCUGUAUGGAAGCUCUGGCAGUUACUCACUGGUUUUAUACGAAAGUUUUAUUAAGUCCGUGCCAAAGAGCUUCUCGUCAUUGGAUCAGCUAAAAAUAGAGAGACACAGUGAGAGCAGGAUCACAAGCAGGGGGAGAGGGAGAGAGAGAAACAGGCUUCCCGCGGAGCGGGCAGCCUGAUGCGGGGCUCGAUCCCAGGACCCUGGGAUCAUGACCUGAGCCGAAGGCAGACGCUUAACGACUGAGCCACCCAGGCGUCCCUGUAAUGGUAAUUUUAAAUAUCACUUUUUAAUUAUAUAUUUAUACUAUA